rnacentral:rRNA from 1 species
GAUGAACGCUGGCGGCGUGCCUAAUACAUGCAAGUCGAGCGAACAGAUAAGGAGCUUGCUCCUUUGACGUUAGCGGCGGACGGGUGAGUAACACGUGGGUAACCUAUCUAUAAGACUGGAAUAACUCCGGGAAACCGGGUCUAAUGCCGGAUAACAUGUUGAACCGCAUGGUUCUACAGUGAAAGGCGGCUUUGCUGUCACUUAUAGAUGGACCCGCGCCGUAUUAGCUAGUUGGUGAGGUAACGGCUCACCAAGGCAACGAUACGUAGCCGACCUGAGAGGGUGAUCGGCCACACUGGAACUGAGACACGGUCCAGACUCCUACGGGAGGCAGCAGUAGGGAAUCUUCCGCAAUGGGCGAAAGCCUGACGGAGCAACGCCGCGUGAGUGAUGAAGGUCUUCGGAUCGUAAAACUCUGUUAUUAGGGAAGAACAAAUGCGUAAGUAACUGUGCGCGUCUUGACGGUACCUAAUCAGAAAGCCACGGCUAACUACGUG